CGUAAUCUCAUUCACCUGUGUUUGAGGAAAGACCCAACCAAACGGCCAGUCCUGGAGGAAAUCCUCCAGCACAAGUGGUUCUCCACAGAGUAGGGUUAGGUUACAGCAUGGAGAGAGAGGAGGAAACUGUAAGACUGAUCGACAGUGAAUAUCAAUGUUAUACGCAACACCGAUGAAAACCUUUGUUAUUUUAUUUUGACCAGCUGUGUAUAUAAACGUGUAAUCUAAUAUCUUUUUCCACAAUAUGAUUGACUGAUGAAUAUCAUCUCCACAGGAACUGACAUUGGGGUCUAUUAGGUCCGCAAGUGUGCAGGGGCAUCUAGUCUCAGAAGGGUUGGUCGAUUGAGAUUGUGAGGUGUCUCACUGAGCUCUCCUAACCCUGCUGGGUUCAUAAUCCACCAUGAAGCAGUCCCCCUGUAGACGGAGCAGGCAGCGUCUACCAUCUCAUAUCUGGCCUGCUCCAGAGAACACCCCCCAUUGAUGACCAGGUUCAGCAGGGCUGGUUGAAUGUUACUUUCUCAGCCUGACUGUUGGCUGCACACCCAGCCAGUAUGCCUGAGUCCUACAAGUACCACGGACAGGGCCUGUUGUGGGAAGCACUUUUCAUUUCAGUAAAAGGGCUGUUCCCGAAAGGCGUUCAUCUGAGUCUACUGUUUCCAGCCUCCAUCUCCACUGUACCCAGCCAUCUCAUGUUAACAAUUGAAUCAUUUUCAUAAAAUGAUGAAAUGUCAUUAAAAAAUUAGCAUACAACUGAA